AUGGCCACUCACAGCCCCCAACCCACGUCGAAGAAGGUGUGCAUAGUGGGAGCCGGCAUGGCCGGGCUGGCAGCGGUGCGUGAGCUGCGGCGCGAGGGCCACGCCGUGACGGUGCUGGAGCAGAGCCACGACGUCGGCGGCCAGUGGCUGUACGACCCGAGAACCGACGACGCCGACCCGCUCGGCGCCGCGGCGCCGGUGAGGGUGCACAGCAGCAUGUACGACUCGCUCCGGCUGAUGAGCCCCAGGGAGGCGAUGGGCUUCUCGGACUUCCCGUUCGCGUCCAGGGAUGGCGCCGGAGCUGGCUGCGACCCCCGCCGCUUCCCGGGCCACCGCGAGGUGUACUGCUACCUCAAGGACUUCUGCGACGCGUUCGGGCUCGUGGACGCCAUCAGGCUCAACACCAGAGCUGUCCGCAUCGCCUUGGCGCCACCUUGCGACGUCGGGUCGAGUUUGCGGUGGCAAGUGAGGGCCGUGCAGGUAGAGCCGGAGAGCAACAAGGAGGUCUCGUACACGGAGGAGGUGUUCGACGCCGUCGUGGUGGCCACUGGCCACUACUCGCAGCCGAAGCUCCCAAGCAUCGACGGGAUGGAGCAGUGGAGGAGGACGCAGCUGCACAGCCACUCGUACCGGACGCCGGGGCCGUUCUGCGGCGAGACGGUCGUUGUGGUCGGGUGCGGGGAGAGCGGCACGGACAUCGCCGUGGAGCUAACCGGCGUCGCCAGGGAGGUGCACCUCGCCGCUAGGUCAAUGGAGGUGGUGAGCCCGGGCCUGUCCAAGGCAAUCGCCAGGCACGACAACCUGCACCUCCACCUCGGGGUGGAGCGGCUGCGCGAAGACGGAGCCGUGGUCUUCGCGGACGGUUCCAGCGCCGUCGCGGACACCGUCAUCUACUGCACGGGGUACAGCUACUCGUUCCCUUUCCUAGAGACGGAGGGGAGGGUCACCGUGGACGACAACCGCGUGGAUCCGCUGUUCGAGCACGUGUUCCCGGCGUCGCCACUGGCGCCGUCGUUGUCGUUCGUGGGCAUCCCCAUCAGAGUGAUCGCACCGUGGUUCUUUGAGGGCCAAGCAAGGUGGGUUGCGCGGGUCUUGUCCGGCAGGAGCGAGCUGCCGACCGAGGCGGAAAUGGUGCGGUCCGUGGAGGCCCAGCGGCGCGCCAGGGAGGCUGCCGGCGUGCCGAACAAGUUGGCGCAUGACAUCUGCGGCGUCGAGCCUCACCAGUACAUGAGCGAGUUCGGAGAGAGGUGGUGCGGGUUCCCGCGGCUGGAGAGCUGGAAGAUCGAGCUGUUCGCGUCGUCGGUGAAGAACAUGGCGGCCAACUUCGAGACAUUUCGUGACGAAUACGAAGACAGCGACACGGUUCGCGAGGCUCUCAAGGAGUGGCGCCGCUCGUCUGGUGUGGGUGCUCGACAUCCAGAGGAGGAAGAAGACGCUGAUGCAGCAGAAGCCAUGCCCCCCUAG
rnacentral:rRNA from 1 species